ACAAAUGUCUUUUUUGUUCUUUAUCUAGGUCCUUGGACACAGAGCUUCCAGCAGUGAUUGGAGACCCAACCCCACUGCACAGUUCUUUAAUGGCAGUUCCCGGUCCAUAGUUCACAGAAUACACCGCCCUAUGAGCUCUCCAUGAAAAGUUACGAGUAAAGUUCACACUUUUGGGUAGUCAAGUUCCACAGGGUCUUUUCCAAAACGGAGCCACCGAGACGGGCAUCAACUUUCUCCAUCAGGACUUUUGACACAGUUGCCUCUCUACCGCUGACCUUGAAAUCACUUGCAGCCUUGAAUGCCCCUGCAUCUGAGUCGGUGACAAGCUUUUCCACCUCCAGGCCGACUUUUUGAGGUUUUCCAGACUUUCGUAGCAGUAUGCCUGUUCAUUACCAAUUUAUGAGGCCAGAGGUUUCUUUUGACUUACCUUAGUGGUUCAUCUUUGGCCACAUGUGAAGGACGGAGCAGCCUGUGAGAAGAUGUCCGAUGUACAGGAAUCUCCAUCUUCAGUACCAGUAGAAGACUUGACCUAGCAGCCCAAGCCUUGGUGAUAGCCACUUUUCAUUUUGGUUUCAUACCCUAUGGUCCUGACUGUUUCCAAAAAUGGUAAAUUUGAAAAAUAUGUGGGAUCCUAUAGGGACCACGGAACAAAAU